rnacentral:rRNA from 1 species
UCUUUUAAUUAAAAUGAUUCUUUUUAAGAUCUUCUUUUUUCUUCGGCAUUUGGAGAUCUUGUUACUUUGAGUAAAUUAGAGUGUUCAAAGCAAACAGAUAUAGCAUUUGCGUUUGAAUACUACAGCAUGGAAUAACAAAAUUGAACAAGUCAGAAUUUUGUUCUUUUUAUUUUGGCUUAGUUACGAUUAAUAGGAGUAGCUUGGGGGCAUUUGUAUUCAGAUGUCAGAGGUGAAAUUCUUAGAU